GACGAACGCUGGCGGCGUGCCUAAUACAUGCAAGUCGAACGCAUUUUCUUUCACCGUAGCUUGCUACACCGAAAGAAAAUGAGUGGCGAACGGGUGAGUAACACGUGGGUAACCUGCCCAUCAGCGGGGAAUAACACUUGGAAACAGGUGCUAAUACCGCAUAAUUCCAUUUACCGCAUGGUAAAUGGAUGAAAGGCGCUUUUGCGUCACUGAUGGAUGGACCCGCGGUGCAUUAGCUAGUUGGUGGGGUAACGGCCUACCAAGGCUGCGAUGCAUAGCCGACCUGAGAGGGUGAUCGGCCACACUGGGACUGAGACACGGCCCAGACUCCUACGGGAGGCAGCAGUAGGGAAUCUUCGGCAAUGGACGCAAGUCUGACCGAGCAACGCCGCGUGAGUGAAGAAGGUUUUCGGAUCGUAAAACUCUGUUGUUAGAGAAGAACAAGGAUGAGAGUGGAAAGUUCAUCCCUUGACGGUAUCUAACCAGAAAGCCACGGCUAACUACGUG
rnacentral:rRNA from 1 species